rfam:Sistotremastrum niveocremeum HHB9708 unplaced genomic scaffold SISNIscaffold_2, whole genome shotgun sequence.
UCGUUCACUUGUUGGGGACAAAUGUAAUGGACGUGGGCAUCGAUAGCACCCGCGGUAACAAUGAGUUUCUCGCCCGCUAUGACCUCGGUCGAAGCGCCGACGACUAAUGAUGGGUCAACGCCGUCCAUAACGUCAGGAUUGCCAGCUUUUCCGAUGCCUGUGAUUUUUCCCCCUUUCACACCAAUAUCUGCCUAGUAUGAUAGAUCCAGCAACCGAGAAAGGAAGCAAUAGGCAAGGCAAACCUUGUAAAUGCCGGACCAAUCGACGAUCAGAGCGUUGGUAAUUAAAAGGUCGAUAGUUUCGGUGUGCGAGCGAUUGGUGGCCUGGCCCAUACCCUCUCUGA